AUAAGGAAGUUAAUGCAAAAGCAUGGGAUCCACGGAAGAGAAAAAGGGAGCAGUUUGCUCCCUACCUGAACAUUCGUAUUGGUUUGACUUUUGGCUUUUCGUAUUAUUUGACAUCGUAUUCUUUCUUUUUAUGCAUUUCAUCGUUCCAUGACGGCCAGGCAAGUCAUACAUGGAUUGCCAGGACCAACGACUUUUGAUGAAUCGCGCUAAGAAACCCGGGAAUGAUGUCGAUCUUUGCCUUCUGCUUUCUCCAGAUCUGUGGCCAAGAUAACCAUUUUUCCAUUUAUUAAUUUAUGCAUUCAUUCAGUGGAAAUUACAUGUGAAAGCGAUUUUUAUUAUUAUUAUUAUUAUUAUUAUUAUUAUUAUUAUUAUUAUUAUUAUUUAUAUGGUCCCGGCUGUCUCUGAAUCUGUUCUGUUGUGCCUUCUGUGUUGACUUUGAUCCUCAACACUUGACAUGGCAUGAUUUACUUUACUGCUGACGCCAAAGCUUGGCAACAAAUGCUGAAAAAGAUCACUAAUGUGUACAAUGAUGGCGGACAUAAUUGUGGUGUUACCCAUAUUGGAAUUUUAAUUGUUUGAUUGAUUGAUGGAUUGAUUUAUUGAUUGAUUGAUGAUUGAUUGUGUGAAAGAAAUGUUAUUUUCAACAAACUUCUGUGUAGAGGCUUUACAUUAACAAAAUAUAUUUUUUCUCUCA